AUAAUUACUCAAGAACAUUUGAAGUAAACCAGAAUUCUCCCAGGGGGAGAAUUUUUCUGUACCCACCCUGAAGCAAUCAAACAAAAAAGAUUUUGGAGAAAAGAGAAGGGGAAGAAGAAUGAACAACUGAGAGUUUUUCAGUACUGCUGUGUGCCCUGUGUGAGCUCACUACCAUCUCUAGGAAUUGCAGCAAUGAUAUCCUUAAGGCAUGAAAGUUUAUCCUUUCACCAGAGACUACAAUUAAUAUUUCAAGGCUGAAUUAGAUCUGCUCACCUAAAAUGGAACAGAAGGCCGCAAGGAAAACAUUGUCAGGAGAAGGAGGCAGGUCUCACCCAACAACUGGCCAGUGCCAUGGUGCAAAGGUUCAGGCCACUUUAGAAAAUCUCUGAAGGGUCAUCUCAACUCUAAAGCUUCCCACAUGAUUUUCGGAGCUUCUGUUGCAAUUACAUUACAGUCGAACUACUAACACUCUGAGAAAGUAGGAAUUGAUGCCCACCCGGGGAAAAAAAA
rnacentral:lncRNA from 1 species